rfam:Schistosoma margrebowiei strain Zambia genome assembly, scaffold: SMRZ_scaffold0003758
UUAAAGGCCCUUUUCAGGGCCACGCACAAAUUGAUAUAUAUAUAU